GACGAACGCUGGCGGCGUGCUUAACACAUGCAAGUCGAACGAAGUGGCGAACGGGUGAGUAACGCGUAAUCAACCUGCCCUUCAGAGGGGGACAACAGUUGGAAACGACUGCUAAUACCGCAUACUGAAGGAGGGGAUUGCGUCUGAUUAGCUGGUUGGCGGGGUAAAGGCCCACCAAGGCGACGAUCAGUAGCGGGUCUGAGAGGAUGAUCCGCCACACUGGGACUGAGACACGGCCCAGACUCCUACGGGAGGCAGCAGUGGGGAAUUUUGGACAAUGGGCGCAAGCCUGAUCCAGCCAUGCCGCGUGUCUGAAGAAGGCCUUCGGGUUGUAAAGGACUUUUGUCAGGGAAGCGGUACCUGAAGAAUAAGCACCGGCUAACUACGUGCCAGCAGCCGCGGUAAUAC
rnacentral:rRNA from 1 species